AAGUCGUAACAAGGUUUCCGUAGGUGAACCUGCGGAAGGAUCAUUAAUGAACAAGUACGCGUGGGAGGGUUGUGCUGGCGCGUCCGCGCGCACGUGCACGCCCGCCCAUGUCGUCCGUCCACUCACACCCGUGCACUUUGCUCGUCGGACGAGGGCCCCCAGCGCCUUUGGCCGACGCACAUUCACACAACCUGUCUUAACCGUAUGUCAAUUGCGUAAACGCAACCGAAAUACAA
rnacentral:misc_RNA from 1 species